ensembl:lncRNA
GUGGGUGUCCCUUUGGUUGAUGCCUGGCAAUGUGGUUGGAUUGAUUUCCUGCCUGUUGGGCCCUGUCCGGGGCCUCCCCCGGGUAGGGCCACAGUGUCACCGGACCCCCCGUCUCAGUUUCCAAGGUGUUACGCUGCUAUAUUAUUGUGCUGGGGGACAUGAGGGAUGUACUACUAACUUUUCUCUGUUUCCUCCAAUUUUAAAUUUUAGAAGGAGAUGAGGUCCUGGUCCACACCUGCGGAUUACCUGGUUUGGGGGGACCGUUGCUGUUCCUGUCCUUGUCCACCUGUUCCAAAGAUGCGUUGUUGAGCUGGGGGAUGCUGUUGCCUGGGUAAAUGCCACCACGGGCCUGUUCUGAGACGGUGUACAAGUCCUCACCCCUGAAUGAUGAGGAAAUACAGCUCUGCAGAUGCUCAGAGGCCUCAACUGUAGAGGAAGAACAAGAAGCUCUCUCCCAUUCAUGUUUUUGUUUAAUAAUUUUGAAGACACUGAAACAUUCAUAGACGAAAUAGACAAAAGAGGACUUAGUGAUAAUUUUGAGCUUCCCUGUUAAUUAUGUUUGUUGAUGAGGAUACCUAUUAGCUGUCUUUAAACCAUCAGCUAAUGCUGGGUUCCACACAACAAAAAUUACAAGCUCCAGAAAACACAAUAUAAUUUGACGAGACAAAGAGACAAGGAACAUCAUUUAUUUAGCAAGAGUAAACUGGACAGUGUUUUGGAAGUGUUCACCUGGCCAUACAACAUGAUAGGAUGAAUCCAAAGCCUACAGAAUCUGGGCAAAGCUGAAUACACAGUACAUAAAGAAACAGUUUAGUUUUGACAGUGUUGGAAUGUAAUGUUUAGAAUAUUUAAUGGGGUAAUUAAAUGUUUAAUUGUCUAACUGGCAUAUCAUUUAAUUUUGUAUUUCUUAGGUUAUGCCAUUAACUGGCCUAUAUUAAUUGACUUUCAAUAAUGUAUUUUGUGCUCUUUUUGACCUGUUCUACUUGUAAUUUAUGCUAUUGAAACAACUUUUAGGAUAAGGGUUGAAUUAGAUGUAACACAUAUUCCUCCCAACAAUGUUUUAAGUCCAUAACCAUAUCAUUACUAUAUAAUAAAAAUGGUGCUUGUUCCAGGCACCCCUGGAUAAAUGUAUUGUUCUGUAAACAGAUGUUGACCUGACCUCUAAAUUAUGCAAAUUUAAACUUGCCACCUUUCUGCAACAGGCUAUAGAAAAUUCCACACUUCCAGUUACCAAUUUCAACUUUCUAGAAGAUUGCUGUUCAAUUGAACAAUGCAAGUCAGAGGAAGGAGAAACCAUUACAAUGAUUUGUAUGAAAACUGGUCAGAUCUAUACAGCAGAACCCACAGGUCUCGGAAAAGGACCUUCAGAACAGUUUAGCUGUCACUGAAGUUGUUGCUCACAGGUCCACCGCACAGUGUACCUUACACAGUAUGUUCACAUUUGUCUAAUAUGUUGAAUCUAUGGAAAAUACAUAAAUGGUAAUACUGUAUAGCAUAGCAUAGCAUAGCAUCAUCUUCCGCUUAUCCGGGGCCGGGUCGCGGGGGCAGCAGUCUAAGCAGGGAAGCCCAGACUUCCCUCUCCCCAGACACUUCCUCCAGCUCUUCCGG